AAAUGCGAUAAGUAAUGUGAAUUGCAGAAUUCAGUGAAUCAUCGAAUCUUUGAACGCACAUUGCGCCCGCCAGUAUUCUGGCGGGCAUGCCUGUUCGAGCGUCAUUUCAACCAUCAAGCCCCCGGCUUGUGUUGGGGACCUGCGGCUGCCCGCAGGCCCUGAAAAACAGUGGCGGGCUCGCUGUCACACCGAGCGUAGUAGCAUACAUUCUCGCUCAGGGCGUGCUGCGGGUUCCGGCCGUUAAACGACCUUCAUAACCCAAGGUUGACCUCGGAUCAGGUAGGAAGACCCGCUGAACUUAAG
rnacentral:misc_RNA from 1 species